CUCCGACUUGAUCCACGAAACUUGCCAAUACAUAGGACCUAACAAUCUCCCCCUUUGGCAAUUUCGUGACAAAACACACAAAAACUCACAAAUUACAAUUUAAAGAAAAAACGAAGUUCAAUGUCAUCACCAAAACAUCGAACCCCUCGCGUGUAAUCCAAAUACAAUUUGAAACUCAAAAUUACAUCAAAAACUCCUAAAACAGACUCUAUGACUUAGACGCAACUAGGAGUCUUGAAGUCUUGAUUUCCUGCAAAACAACUCAUUCAAAAAUGAUUAGCACUAAAUUCUUAUACCUUCUCCCCCUUUGUUCACAUCUCCCCCUUUGUUCUUGAACUUAUCAUCCUCUGCUUCAGUUCAAAACCUGCUCAUCCAUGCUCCCCCCCCUUCAUUUAAGCUCUCCCCCUUUUUGUCAAAAAU
rnacentral:lncRNA from 1 species